rnacentral:lncRNA from 1 species
CUCUUGAAGCAAAGAAAUUUGCAAGACAGUGGUUUAACACAUUUGCAGAGUGCUGUUGACAUCCAGAGUGACUCCGGUUAUGUGAAUGAUUUAACCAAAUGAAGGACAACAUUCUCUGAAAUAACAAAGGCUAUUUCAAGAGAGUCCUACUGGUGUUAAGAAUGAAACAAAAAGUAAGAAGAACAGAAUCCUGGCUUUGUGCAAAGGGAAAUAACAAAUAAGAUAAAUACUGUGGUACUGUAUGUUUUAAUGGAAGCAGUCUCAUGGUGGAGAUAAAAACACGGAAGGCUACUAAGAAUUGCCUCCAUGCUGGCUCCCACAUCACUGCACGCAAUGCCAC